rnacentral:lncRNA from 1 species
GUCCACUGAUCAUUGCAUCAGUUCAAAUAGGAAGGCUGAAGAAUGCCUUCAUUCACUAAUGGGAAAAGCAUGAUGAUUUCAAGCUGACCUACAGAACUUUGUGCAUCACCUACAACAUUGGCAAGGGUGGCUGAGAAGAAAGCUCUCCAAUACUUGAAAUUAUUUUCAAGUCACUUGCAAAUAAUCUGCUUACUGGGAGGAAGGAAACAGCAGAACGCUUCUGAGAGGUCUGGUGUGUUCCAAUCACCCAUAGAGAGAAACCACAGGACUAAAAAUAAAUGAAUAAAUAAAAAUGCCCAGGAGUUAUAGCAAGUAUGCAUCUUUUUGUUAAAUUUUCUUUCAUGAUGACACAAAACAAGGACUAAAAAUGUUUGCAAGAAACCACAAGGUGAUCUAAUCAGAACUUAGCUAAAAUUACAAAUCUGACAAUGAAUAAAAUUCCCUACUUAAUUCUAGAAAUAAGCUGAUAAUAAUCGCCAAAGCUCAGUAGUCAUUCAAAAUGGGCAACAGUAAUAACUCAUAUACCUAGACCUAUCUUUAAGUUCCAUUAUUCAAGAAGGAAACUAGUAUUCUCAUUUUAUUUUUUUCUGAAUGAAUCUAGAAAAUACUUUAUAGAUAAGAAUAUGUCCACUCUUGCAAAAGAUACCAGUGGCAAGCUUCAGUGUGAAAGAGACAAGUAUCCAUGUGUCAGAUGACAGAGUUGCCACUGAUUUAUUAGCAAAUUGAACUUUUGCUUUAAGAGAAAAAAAUUUCUCAAAAUCUGUAUCUGAUAAAUUAACCCAGUCCUUCAUGAAUACCAUUUCAAAAAGAC